GUGAGGAAUUUUCCGCAAUGGGCGAAAGCCUGACGGAGCAAUGCCGCGUGAAGGAUGAAGGCCUAUGGGUUGUAAACUUCUUUUCUCAGAAAAGAAUUAUGACGGUAUCUGAGGAAUAAGCAUCGGCUAACUCUGUGCCAGCAGCCGCGGUAAGACAGAGGAUGCAAGCGUUAUCCGGAAUGAUUGGGCGUAAAGCGUCUGUAGGUUGUUUAAAAAGUAUUCUGUCAAAGAUUAGGGCUUAACCCUAGAUAGGCAGAAUAAACUUUUAAGAUAGAGUUUGGUAGAGGCAGAGGGUAUUCCCGGUGGAGCGGUGAAAUGCGUAGAUAUCGGGAGGAACACCAAAGGCGAAGGCACUCUGCUGGGCCAAUACUAACACUGAGAGACGAAAGCGAGGGGAGCAAAUGGGAUUAGAAACCCGAGUAAUCC
rnacentral:rRNA from 1 species